rnacentral:tRNA from 1 species
UAGCUCAGUCAGUAGAGCGUAGCGCUAACGACGCUAAGGUCAUGGGUUUGAUUCCCGU